GCGGCUGCAAGAUGGGGGGGAGGCCUGGUUAAUGGGAUCCGUGAGAGUUUGUAGUGCCUGUAAAUGGGACAAAGGUUAAGGGUGUGCCAACAAUCCGUCGAGCUAAUUUUAUUCCGACUUUUGAUUUAGGUGGUCGCUGAGAGUUACCCUCUGAGGCCCGUUUGAAUUGCAGACUUGUAGCUGGAUGGUCCGGCCUGGUUCAGCCCAGUCCAGGGUGAUGGUGAAAAGCGACCGGCGAAAGAGGACAAAACUUUAGCUUAAGUCGGGGAGCUCCGAAGGGCACAUUACAGAUUUUUUUUUAAUGUGCUUUGAUGUGCUGUUAAGAGUAAUUGCUCCUUCGGAUGGGUGUCAGUAAAUUGGACGUUCUCUACAGGCGAUUCCUUCUUUCAAAAUUUUUCAUUCAAGGAUGGGGAAAGCCGGAUGAUCUCAGAAGGUUGUUUGAAUUUAGGAAAAAAAUAGGAAACCGAGAAAAAUGUCAACAGUUGGUCCCAAAAGACUACCCCAUAUUCAUUGACAAGAUGGAGGAACAGGCUGAUUGUCAGAUCCUGGAUGGGCACUUUGUAUCCCCACUGGAUCAUUAUCUACCAGGGAUAAUGCCAGCUGAAUCUGUCAAAGCUAGGUUUCAGUUCAUAGUUCCCAAAGAAUGGAAGAGUAAAUACCGACCUGUAUGUGUUCAUCUGGCUGGCACUGGAGACCAUUUUUACUGGCGAAGACGUACAUUGAUGGCUCGUCCAAUGAUAAAGGAGGCAUGCAUUGGAUCGCUUUUAUUGGAAAAUCCUUACUAUGGAUACAGAAAACCUAGAGAUCAAAUGAGGUCAAGUUUAAGGAAUGUCUCUGAUCUUUUUGUGAUGGGAGGAGCUCUAGUCCUAGAGUCUGCAGCUCUUCUUCAUUGGCUGGAGAGAGGGGGUUAUGGACCUCUAGGAAUGACUGGGAUAUCAAUGGGAGGUCAUAUGGCAUCGUUAGCUGCAAGUAACUGGCCCAAACCCAUACCACUGGUACCCUGCCUGUCUUGGUCCACAGCUUCGGGAGUUUUUACUACAGGUGUUUUAAGCAAAGCCGUGAAUUGGAGAGAGCUGGAAAAGCAGUAUGCUACAGAAACUGUUUACGAAGAAGAAAUUAUCAGACUGCUAGAGUACUGUGGAACAGAUUCCUUUAAAAUGGGCCAAGAUUUUAUGAAGAACUCCCCAUCCAGUUUGGAAAAUUUGCAACACCAUGAACUUACCACAGAUAUGAUAGGUUUAAAUGCGAAGAGAGAAAUGAUGAGGACUGCGACAAUUUCUCAGUUUAGUACCAACACAGCUGCCUUAAAUGCCUCUACACAAGGAAUUCUGCUUCAAGGUACCUCAAACACUGGUUGCCUGAAUCACCAAAUGUCGUCAACAAGUACUAGCAAAUAUUCAUCCACUGUAAACCAUGAGCUGUUAAAGAUGAAAAACAGGAAGGCCUCCCUAGCACGAGAAUCUAUACUCUUCAUGAAAGGAGUCAUGGAUGAAUGUACACACAUUGGAAAUUUCUCAGUGCCAGUAGAUCCUAGUCUGAUCAUAGUGGUCCAAGCAAAGGAAGAUGCCUACAUUCCCCGAGCUGGAGUGCGCAGCCUUAAUGAAAUCUGGCCUGGGUGUGAAAUCAGAUACUUGGAAGGUGGUCACAUUAGUGCUUAUCUCUUCAAACAAGGCCUGUUCAGUUUACAAACAGGUGUAGUGAGUGAAGUCCAGAAGCUAAUUGAAAGUUGAAUAUUGGAGGACAACUGAUGGAGGUAUAAAGGACCAGAAGGUAUAUGGAAUCUGUGGCAGGCGUCAAGAUAAUGAUGAAGGCGAGCCAUUUAUGAUGCAUUUGACCGCUUUCUUCAGAAGUACUCCAUCUAGAACUGAGCAUUGGAUGCCACGCUGAUUCCCGUCAUCUUGUCAUGUGAUUUUUUUUUCCAUUUAUAUCUGACAGCACUACGGCUGGUCCAAAUUAUUGCUGCAAGCAAAAGAAUUGUAGAAGCAACUUUGUACUGAGGACAGAGAACUUAAUUGUUCCGUACUGGUUGUAAUUCACUUAGUAUUACAGGAACAAAAAAAAUGCACUGUACUCUAACCUAUUACAAAUUAUUAUUAGUCUGAUAUUUCAAAAUUGAUUGAAACUAACACUAUUAUAUUGUCAUAAGUGUUGCAACUAAGAUGCUCUUAGCAGCAUUAACAGUCAACUUGAUUGAAUAGUUUUUACAUUUUCACUAGUAAAAUAUUGGAUAGGUUGAAGCAUGCUUAAUUUUAUUUUUUGACUUAAGUAUGCAAUGCAGGGAAAGCAGAUACAAAUUGCAUUUUUUACAAGAAUAAAUACAAAGUAAUAAACUAAAUGUGUGUACUACAAAUUAAAACUGACUUGAACAAAUGUAAUAGAAAUCUGCACAACACAAUGUAAAAAUGAGAAAUCUGGUGCUACGUUGUACUAUAUAGUGCCUACAACAUUUGGAAACCAUGUUGUAACAAGGUGACAUUUUUGAAUAAAAAUAUUGCAAAUUCUGUCUAUCUGAAAUAACUGGAAAUAACAUUGACAUUUUAGUUCUAAUUUGUUAAAACGGCUUUGUUGAAUCUACACUGGAAUUGAAAUCACACUGUAAUCUUCCCAUCUUAAUUUCUUAAACUUUGGAUGCAUGUAUGAAAACCAUGAUGUUUGGUUUGAGUUUAGCACAGUUUGCAUGGAAAUGUUGUAACUGAAAAUUGAUGAGGUAGCUCAAUGUUAUAUGUGAAUUUUCUAAUUAAAUUUAAUCAUUUACAAUUUUCAUUAAAACUCUUGAAAGA